UAUUCUAGGGGGAGCGGUAAAAUGCUAUAAUCCUUAGAGGACCACCUGUGGCGAAGGCGUCUAACUAGAACAGUUCUGACGGUGAGGGAUGAAAGCUGGGGGAGCGAUCCGGAUUAGAUACCCGAGUAGUCCCAGCUGUAAACACUGCGAGCUAGGUGUUGCGUGGUCUUCGUGACUACGCAGUAUCGUAAUGAAGAUGUUAAGCUCGCCGCCUGGGGAGUACGGUCGCAAGACUGAAACUUAAAGGAAU
rnacentral:rRNA from 1 species